rnacentral:rRNA from 1 species
GGCUUAGAGUUUGAUCAUGGCUCAGGAUGAACGCUGGCGGCGUGCCUAACACAUGCAAGUCGAACGGACAUUUUUUGGAAACUUCUUCGGAAGUGGAAUCUAAAUGUUAGUGGCGGACGGGUGAGUAACGCGUGAGCAAUCUGCCUCGGAGUGGGGGAUAACAGCCGGAAACGGCUGCUAAUACCGCAUAAUGCAUUUUAAUCGCAUGGUUGAAAUGCCAAAGGCUUGCUGCUCUGAGAUGAGCUCGCGUCUGAUUAGCUAGUUGGUGGGGUAACGGCUCACCAAGGCGACGAUCAGUAGCCGGACUGAGAGGUUGAACGGCCACAUUGGGACUGAGACACGGCCCAGACUCCUACGGGAGGCAGCAGUGGGGAAUAUUGCGCAAUGGGGGAAACCCUGACGCAGCAACGCCGCGUGAUUGAAGAAGGUCUUCGGAUUGUAAAAAUCUUUAAUCAGGGACGAAAAAUGGCGGUACCUGAAGAAUAAGCUCCGGCUAACUACGUGCCAGCAGCCGCGGUAAUACGUAGGGAGCAAGCGUUAUCCGGAUUUACUGGGUGUAAAGGGCGAGUAGGCGGGCUGGUAAGUUGGAAGUGAAAUCUCGGGGCUUAACCCCGAAACUGCUUUCAAAACUGCUGGUCUUGAGUGAUGGAGAGGCAGGCG